AACUCGCAUGUAUUGAGGACCCUUCAUGUGCGCAAGCACUAAUAUACAACUUUCAACAACGGAUCUCUUGGCUCUCGCAUCGAUGAAGAACGCAGCGAAAUGCGAUAAGUAAUGUGAAUUGCAGAAUUCAGUGAAUCAUCGAAUCUUUGAACGCACCUUGCACCCUUUGGCAUUCCGAAGGGUAUGCUCGUUUGAGUGUCAUUUGCACUCUCACACUCCCAAUUGCUUUGGAUUGGGAGCGGUGGACUUGGGUGCUGCUGCUUGACUGUGGCUCACCUGAAAUAUGUUAGUGCACCUCUUGAUUGGACAUAGUACGGCGUGAUAAGUGUCUUCGCCGGCUCCUCGCAAUGAGGGUGGCCGAUCGGGAGCUCUGUGCUUCAAACUGUCUUCGGACAAUCUUCUGGCGACUUGACCUCAAAUCGAGUAGGACUACCCGCUGAACUUAAGCAUAUCAAUAAGCGGAGGAAAAGAAACUAACAAGGAUUCCC
rnacentral:rRNA from 1 species